rnacentral:rRNA from 1 species
GGUGAACGCUAGCGGCAGGCCUAACACAUGCAAGUCGAGGGGUAACUAGAGUGAUAGCAAUAUUACUUUGGCUAGACCGGCGCACGGGUGCGUAACACGUAUGCAACCUACCUUAUACUGGGGAAUAACUUCGAGAAAUCGGCGCUAAUACCCCAUAACACUGCGGAGAGGCAUCUCUUUGCAGUUAAAGCUCCGGCGGUAUAAGAUGGGCAUGCGUCCAAUUAGCUAGUUGGUGAGGUAACGGCUCACCAAGGCUACGAUUGGUAGGGGUUCUGAGAGGAUGAUCCCCCACACUGGUACUGAGACACGGACCAGACUCCUACGGGAGGCAGCAGUGAGGAAUAUUGCGCAAUGGACGAAAGUCUGACGCAGCCAUGCCGCGUGCAGGAUGACGGCCCUAUGGGUUGUAAACUGCUUUUGUACGGGAAUAAACCCUUCUACGUGUAGGAGGCUGAAGGUACCGUAAGAAUAAGCACCGGCUAACUCCGUGCCAGCAGCCGCUGUAA